rnacentral:lncRNA from 1 species
GACUCAAUCAAUUCACAUCACAUAUGAAUCAAUUUGACCAAUUACAACUAAAUUCAAUUUUGAGACCCUUUGACCUAAUUCCAACCAACUCUUGAUUAGGUUUGAUCAAUUGCUCAAAAUCAAAAAAGGAUUCUAACCUGAUCUAAUCAAUGACCCGAGUUGUAGUUUAGUCUCAAAACCAAAUUUGUUCAAUCCAUACCCAA